CAGGCUGUUCCUCCCUCUUUGGUGGCUCUAGCUGUGGUAGGGCCCUCGGCUGAUCUUUCCUGCCUCUAGAUCGACGUUGAAUGAAUCUGUCAAGCCGAUCUCAUCUGAUGAGCUCCUCGAUCUCAUCUCGGAGCUGAAUACACUCCUCCGUGUCGUGGCCAUGGUCACGAUGAUAGAGGCAGAACUUGUUAUUGUUGCACUUCUCGAGGUGUGUGUGCAUCCUUUCCGACN
rnacentral:lncRNA from 1 species